UAUAAACAGUCAGUUUGGCUUUGCAGCUGUGUAGCUUGCUACUGACUGGCAGAGGGAAGCAAAACACGUAUGUACACUUCAAGUUUUACAAAGAAGAGCGCUUGCUUUUUCACGUCAUUGGAGCAAUGUCCCUCUGUAUCGCAAAUUUGACACCACUUCACUUAGAUGUUCAACUUUUGGUGAUAUAUUUUGAAUACCCAGCAUUCUGAAAAUUACUGACGCAUGAAGUACGAAUAAUAACCAUGGGAAAACGAAAAGAAAUUAAUUUCUGAGUGUCAUGAAUGAAGCAUGAAAACAUAAAACUGGAUGAAAUUUCCCAAGAUACGAGACUACAUUUUAGAAAACAGGCAGCUCUUAUCGUUUAUCGUAUUGACAUUAUGAGGUCAGCUCCAGAAAUUUCCCCAAAUCCUUGAAAGUUUAUCAUUAUGAAUCACUAUAGUUGUGAGAGCGACAAACAUUUCCAUUGACCCUGAUGAAGAUACACAGAUUUCUGAACUUUGUAUUUACACAAGUGAAAACAUGUGAAAGUGAGAAAAGUGAACAUCACGUGUUACAUCUGAAGUUACAUUGCAGUCAGCUAACUACAGUCAAAAUGAAAUGAGUUUCCGAAGCCUUUUAUAGUUUACGUAAACUAAAUUAUUCGGGGGAAAGCAACUGGAAACUGCAGCUGCAUAUACAAAGCCUGUAUUAGUCUAGAAAGGGUAAUCAUAAUAUAUCAAUGACAAGUAAAUAAUGUAAGUGUAAGUGGUGAUAAUGAUUAUUUGUGUUGAAAUAAUGCUGGUAUUAUCAUUGUUUAGUUAAUAUAACUGUACUUGAGGUGAUGUUACUGAUGACAGCUGGUAGCUAUUGAGCGUUUACAGGUUAAAUUUUUUUAUGAAAGUGAGUCUAUGGUAAUAUUAGAACUAACGGUAUUUCUAUUAACGGUAUUGGUAAUAGUCGUCAGCUAGUGUUGGUAUUUACGAAGAGGCAGCCAGGAAGAUUGCAUUAUUUUCAAUGAAAAGAACUUUAACAACACCCACGCCAAUGAUGAUAAUGAUGACGAUGAUAAAUAUGAUGAUGAUGGUAUUAGUGGUGGUGGUGGAGGUACCGGGAUUGAUCCUUUCGCCAACAACGGGCUGGGGUGAGAUUACCAAAGAUAUAUAAUAUCUUGAGUUACCAUUCUUGCAGUAUACAAAGCUGUCGGUGACGUUACGAUACCUGUAAUUACUUUAAGUCAUUCGCCCUUCCAUGUUAACAAUAUAUAUAUUAGAAUUUUGAAAGAGGAUCUUUCAGCUUGCCACUUAAUUCUCGAAAAUGCAAAUAAUGGCAGUUUUGUAAUUCCGGGAGAUUAUAGUGAUUAUUGGCAUGGAAAGAAUAUUGCAACCAUGAGGAAAGACAUGCAAACAAUAUGUUUAAUUUCCUUUCUGACAACUUCUUUCUCGUUUUUUUCUCAUUUUCUUCACAAAUUAAACAUAA